AAAUGUCCACGUGAACGUAUUCUUUAUGAGGCUUGUGCAUGCUGUUUCGGCAGUGAUGCUAGCAGAAGGUUUCUUCGGAGACCGAUGUCUAUUUCAUCCCAUAUUAUAAAAAUGACUGAAAACCUAGCCAUCAGAAAUGAUAGCUUGUAAUCAAUUUACAACUUUCAACAGUGGAUGUCUGGGCUCGUGCAUCGAUGAAGAGCGCUGCGAACUGCGAUACGUAAUGCGAAUUGCAGAAUUCAGUGAGUCAUCGAAAUCUUGAACGCAUAUUGCACUUUCGGGUUAGUCCUGGAAGUAUGUCUGUAUCAGUGUCCGUAGUACAAAAUUGAUUUAUCUAUUUUUGGAUGAGUCAGAAUGUGGAGGUCUUGCGUGUUCAAGUCCUCUGAAAUGAAAGUCCCUGUGUAAUGAUGCGAAUGCAUUAUGUAAAGGACUGCAUGUCUUUUUUUUCUAAGGUCUUGUGUUGAGAUGGCACAGAUUUUGAAGGAAGGAUAAAUAGCGGUAGUUUUGCUUGUGUUUCGGCACGGGUGAACAAUUAUUGCUUUUUAUUUCGUCUGGAGGGAUCUGGCGGUCGAAGACAAGAUGGGAAAAGAGUAGAUAUGUGGUCUGGUGUAUUUGUGAUUGCAUGGACGUACUUCGGGAAAUCAUAUCCAAUUUGGAC
rnacentral:rRNA from 1 species